CCUACGGGAGGCAGCAGUGAGGAAUAUUGGUCAAUGGGCGCGAGCCUGAACCAGCCAAGUAGCGUGAAGGAUGACUGCCCUACGGGUUGUAAACUUCUUUUAUAAAGGAAUAAAGUGAGGCACGUGUGCCUUUUGUAUGUACUUUAUGAAUAAGGAUCGGCUAACUCCGUGCAAGCAGCCGCGGUAAUACGGAGGAUCCGAGCGUUAUCCGGGUUUAUUGGGUGUAAAGGGAGCGUAGGUGGGUUGUUAAGUCAGUUGUGAAAGUUGGCGGAUCAACCGUAAAAUUGCAAUUGAGACUGGGAGCCUUGAGUACAGUUGAGGUAGGCGGAAUUCGUGGUGUAGCGGUGAAAUGCUUAGAUAUCACGAAGAACUCCGAUUGCGAAGGCAGCUUACUAAACUGCCACUGACAUUGAGGCUCGAAAGUGUGGGUAUCAAACAGGAUUAGAUACCCCAGUAGUC
rnacentral:rRNA from 1 species